AGCAGCCGCGGUAAUUCCAGCUCCAAUAGCGUAUAUUAAAGUUGUUGCAGUUAAAAAGCUCGUAGUUGAAUUUCGGGAUCAGUAUGUUGGUCGUGCUUCGGUACGUACUGUCAUUACUGGUUUCUACCUUCUGAAGAACCUUGAUGUCAUUAAUUUGGUGUCUUGGGGAAUCAGGACUGUUACUUUGAAAAAAUUAGAGUGUUUAAAGCAAGCAUACGCUUGAAUACAUUAGCAUGGAAUAAUGAAAUAGGACGUUUGAUUCUAUUUUGUUGGUUUCUAGGAUCGACGUAAUGAUUAAUAGGGAUAGUUGGGGGCAUUAGUAUUCAAUUGUCAGAGGUGAAAUUCUUGGAUUUAUUGAAGACUAACUACUGCGAAAGCAUUUGCCAAGGAUGUUUUCAUUAAUCAAGAACGAAAGUUAGGGGAUCGAAGACGAUCAGAUACCGUCGUAGUCUUAACCAUAAACUAUGCCGACUAGGGAUCGGAUGAUGUAUUUUUAAUGACUCAUUCGGCGCCUUAAC
rnacentral:rRNA from 1 species